AAUGAAGAAACACCUCAACCCCAUCAAAUUUAUGUUGGUGCUGGCAGCCUUGGAACUCUUAACUAGUUGAAGGAGGACGACCGCACACAGACUUUAGUUUAAUCAUCUUCUUUACUUUAACAGCAUUGUGUUGAAUCAAAGCCCAUAUACUAUGUUGAACAUCACAAGGCAUCCUACCGGAUAAUCACAUCAUUUGGUAAUCAAGUCAUCAUCUGCGCCACCUGCGUUGCCAGCUGUGUUUGCUUGACAUAUUAUGGCACCAUCUUGUGGAUGAAUUAAAACACAUCAAUCCAGCCAAAAGAACAAAUCAAAAAUCAAGAGGAACCUUCCUUUUGGUGUGUUUUUUGCCGUCUUUUGCCGUUUUUGCCGAGAGCUGUAUACUUGUGUCUUGUAUAGACAUCUGGGUUGUUGGGAUUUCUGUCUAGGUGAUGUGUGGAUGAGAUCACGUCCCGUGCAGCCAUGGAUACACUCCGUCAUCUCGAUAGUCAACAGUGUCUCUCCGGAAUGUCCUGAGCUUCAUUGCUUGUACAUCUUUACAGUAGAUUUCUGUUGUUUCCUUAAUCUUCUUCUCUGUCACAACAAAUUCUUUGUGAUAGGAAGAUUUCUCUCAGUUGAGCAGAUUGUUUUUGUAUUUCAGUUUCUGUGGCAGCAAGUUAAGAUUUAGUUUCUUCAAUGACGAGCAGCAUAAGGUCUAAGGAACAUUUGUUCAGUGUCUCAUACCAUUUUCGGCAAAAUUGUUCAUUAUCUCUCCCAAUGUGACCCCUGACUGUACCUGCCGAAGGCCCCGUAGGUAUUGACGAUGCGCAUCGGGUCAAAGGAGGUGUUCAUCACCUGUCUGGAACUCAGCAGGUUCAUCACAACGGGGAUGCUCAGCAGGUCCUGUGUGUCGGUGAAUGGUUUGAGAUACCUGGAAAAGGAUCUGGAUUGCUCCAUUGACCAUGCACAUCCUCCUGCCCAA